rnacentral:rRNA from 1 species
CCUACGGGAGGCAGCAGUGGGGAAUKGUUGGACAAUGGGCGCAAGCCUGAUCCAGCCAUGCCGCGUGAGUGAAGAAGGCCUUCGGGUUGUAAAGCUCUUUCGGCCGGGAAGAAAUCGUGGUCUCUAACAUAGGCCAUGGAUGACGGUACCGGACUAAGAAGCACCGGCUACCUACGGUGGCCAGCAGCCGCGGUAAU